CGGGUGAGUAACACGUAGAUAACCUGCCCUUUGGUGGGGAAUAACAUCUCGAAAGAGAUGCUAAUACCGCAUAAGUUCUCCUCCGUGAGGGGGAGAACAAACCUUUCUUGUGAAAGAGAAGGGGCCGGAGGAGGGGUCUGCGGCGGAUUAGCUAGUUGGUGAGGUAAAAGCCCACCAAGGCGACGAUCCGUAGCUGGUCUGAGAGGACGGCCAGCCACACUGGGACUGAGACACGGCCCAG
rnacentral:rRNA from 1 species